UAACAGAAUCAUGGCCCUAAUCACAAUUCACAAUCCCAAUUUCACAGAUCCAAGAGCAAAAAUCACAAUUCUCUCAAAAAAACUCACAAUUUUUCUUCUUCACAUUUUUGAUAAUUCAUCAAUAAUCUUUCUCUCUUUCUGCAAUUUUCUGUUGGAAUCAUGAUUUGCAGGUGAAUUUACGUUUCUGUUCCAGCUAGUUGUGGCAAGAAUCAUCAAGAAAUCGCCGCCGCCAACACCUGCUCAAUCCCAUAACAGUUGACGAAAGCGGUUAAUUCGAAGGUGCUGGAGCUCAAUAAACCAUUCCAUUCGCUUGCUGCACUAAUGCUCUACAUCUGUUUCGCGUUUUUGAGCUGGAAAUCACGCCGAAUCCAUCACUGUGCAUCAAGAAAGGUUGGAUUUCGACCAUCACCUUUCGUCAAAUUGAGUUAGGGAUGUUGUAGAUUGUAGCUCGUAGAUUGUAUAACAGCUUUUGGAUUGUAAUUUCGUUGCGAUUUGAGCGAGUUAUCGUCAAUUUAAGUUUCGAUGCGUUUCCUCCUUGCUUUCGAUUCGUGCUGUAUGUUAAUCUAUAGAGGAAAUCGCAUCCAUAUCCUUGCUCGCGAUCAAGAGCCGGUCCGAUCGGUACAUUAUUCAUGCGUUUCCGUUACCAUUUGCUCGAAACCGUUAUUCGCCGGUGAUGAACACACCGGCUGCGCGAGGAAG
rnacentral:lncRNA from 1 species